rnacentral:rRNA from 1 species
AACGAACGCUGGCGGCAUGCCUAACACAUGCAAGUCGAACGAACCCUUCGGGGUUAGUGGCGCACGGGUGCGUAACGCGUGGGAAUCUGCCCUUUGCUUCGGAAUAACAGUUAGAAAUGACUGCUAAUACCGGAUGAUGUCUUCGGACCAAAGAUUUAUCGGCAAGGGAUGAGCCCGCGUAGGAUUAGGUAGUUGGUGGGGUAAAGGCCUACCAAGCCGACGAUCCUUAGCUGGUCUGAGAGGAUGAUCAGCCACACUGGGACUGAGACACGGCCCAGACUCCUACGGGAGGCAGCAGUGGGGAAUAUUGGACAAUGGGCGCAAGCCUGAUCCAGCAAUGCCGCGUGAGUGAUGAAGGCCUUCGGGUCGUAAAGCUCUUUUACCAGGGAUGAUAAUGACAGUACCUGGAGAAUAAGCUCCGGCUAACUCCGUGCCAGCCGCCGCGGUAAGAC